CCAUACGAUCACUAAAGUUAAGCAAUGUCGAGCCUGGUCAGUACUUAGAUGGGUAGCCGCUUAGGAAUACCAGGUGUUGUAA